rnacentral:rRNA from 1 species
ACUAAGCGUACACGGUGGAUGCCCUGGCAGUCAGAGGCGAUGAAGGACGUGCUAAUCUGCGAUAAGCGUCGGUAAGGUGAUAUGAACCGUUAUAACCGGCGAUUUCCGAAUGGGGAAACCCAGUGUGUUUCGACACACUAUCAUUAACUGAAUCCAUAGGUUAAUGAGGCGAACCGGGGGAACUGAAACAUCUAAGUACCCCGAGGAAAAGAAAUCAACCGAGAUUCCCCCAGUAGCGGCGAGCGAACGGGGAGCAGCCCAGAGCCUGAAUCAGUGUGUGUGUUAGUGGAAGCGUCUGGAAAGGCGCGCGAUACAGGGUGACAGCCCCGUACACAAAAAUGCACAUGCUGUGAGCUCGAUGAGUAGGGCGGGACACGUGGUAUCCUGUCUGAAUAUGGGGGGACCAUCCUCCAAGGCUAAAUACUCCUGACUGACCGAUAGUGAACCAGUACCGUGAGGGAAAGGCGAAAAGAACCCCGGCGAGGGGAGUGAAAAAGAACCUGAAACCGUGUACGUACAAGCAGUGGGAGCACGCUUAGGCGUGUGACUGCGUACCUUUUGUAUAAUGGGUCAGCGACUUAUAUUCUGUAGCAAGGUUAACCGAAUAGGGGAGCCGAAGGGAAACCGAGUCUUAACUGGGCGUUAAGUUGCAGGGUAUAGACCCGAAACCCGGUGAUCUAGCCAUGGGCAGGUUGAAGGUUGGGUAACACUAACUGGAGGACCGAACCGACUAAUGUUGAAAAAUUAGCGGAUGACUUGUGGCUGGGGGUGAAAGGCCAAUCAAACCGGGAGAUAGCUGGUUCUCCCCGAAAGCUAUUUAGGUAGCGCCUCGUGAAUUCAUCUCCGGGGGUAGAGCACUGUUUCGGCAAGGGGGUCAUCCCGACUUACCAACCCGAUGCAAACUGCGAAUACCGGAGAAUGUUAUCACGGGAGACACACGGCGGGUGCUAACGUCCGUCGUGAAGAGGGAAACAACCCAGACCGCCAGCUAAGGUCCCAAAGUCAUGGUUAAGUGGGAAACGAUGUGGGAAGGCCCAGACAGCCAGGAUGUUGGCUUAGAAGCAGCCAUCAUUUAAAGAAAGCGUAAUAGCUCACUGGUCGAGUCGGCCUGCGCGGAAGAUGUAACGGGGCUAAACCAUGCACCGAAGCUGCGGCAGCGACACUAUGUGUUGUUGGGUAGGGGAGCGUUCUGUAAGCCUGUGAAGGUGUGCUGUGAGGCAUGCUGGAGGUAUCAGAAGUGCGAAUGCUGACAUAAGUAACGAUAAAGCGGGUGAAAAGCCCGCUCGCCGGAAGACCAAGGGUUCCUGUCCAACGUUAAUCGGGGCAGGGUGAGUCGACCCCUAAGGCGAGGCCGAAAGGCGUAGUCGAUGGGAAACAGGUUAAUAUUCCUGUACUUGGUGUUACUGCGAAGGGGGGACGGAGAAGGCUAUGUUGGCCGGGCGACGGUUGUCCCGGUUUAAGCGUGUAGGCUGGUUUUCCAGGCAAAUCCGGAAAAUCAAGGCUGAGGCGUGAUGACGAGGCACUACGGUGCUGAAGCAACAAAUGCCCUGCUUCCAGGAAAAGCCUCUAAGCAUCAGGUAACAUCAAAUCGUACCCCAAACCGACACAGGUGGUCAGGUAGAGAAUACCAAGGCGCUUGAGAGAACUCGGGUGAAGGAACUAGGCAAAAUGGUGCCGUAACUUCGGGAGAAGGCACGCUGAUAUGUAGGUGAGGUCCCUCGCGGAUGGAGCUGAAAUCAGUCGAAGAUACCAGCUGGCUGCAACUGUUUAUUAAAAACACAGCACUGUGCAAACACGAAAGUGGACGUAUACGGUGUGACGCCUGCCCGGUGCCGGAAGGUUAAUUGAUGGGGUUAGCGCAAGCGAAGCUCUUGAUCGAAGCCCCGGUAAACGGCGGCCGUAACUAUAACGGUCCUAAGGUAGCGAAAUUCCUUGUCGGGUAAGUUCCGACCUGCACGAAUGGCGUAAUGAUGGCCAGGCUGUCUCCACCCGAGACUCAGUGAAAUUGAACUCGCUGUGAAGAUGCAGUGUACCCGCGGCAAGACGGAAAGACCCCGUGAACCUUUACUAUAGCUUGACACUGAACAUUGAGCCUUGAUGUGUAGGAUAGGUGGGAGGCUUAGAAGUGUGGACGCCAGUCUGCAUGGAGCCGACCUUGAAAUACCACCCUUUAAUGUUUGAUGUUCUAACGUUGACCCGUAAUCCGGGUUGCGGACAGUGUCUGGUGGGUAGUUUGACUGGGGCGGUCUCCUCCUAAAGAGUAACGGAGGAGCACGAAGGUUGGCUAAUCCUGGUCGGACAUCAGGAGGUUAGUGCAAUGGCAUAAGCCAGCUUGACUGCGAGCGUGACGGCGCGAGCAGGUGCGAAAGCAGGUCAUAGUGAUCCGGUGGUUCUGAAUGGAAGGGCCAUCGCUCAACGGAUAAAAGGUACUCCGGGGAUAACAGGCUGAUACCGCCCAAGAGUUCAUAUCGACGGCGGUGUUUGGCACCUCGAUGUCGGCUCAUCACAUCCUGGGGCUGAAGUAGGUCCCAAGGGUAUGGCUGUUCGCCAUUUAAAGUGGUACGCGAGCUGGGUUUAGAACGUCGUGAGACAGUUCGGUCCCUAUCUGCCGUGGGCGCUGGAGAACUGAGGGGGGCUGCUCCUAGUACGAGAGGACCGGAGUGGACGCAUCACUGGUGUUCGGGUUGUCAUGCCAAUGGCACUGCCCGGUAGCUAAAUGCGGAAGAGAUAAGUGCUGAAAGCAUCUAAGCACGAAACUUGCCCCGAGAUGAGUUCUCCCUGACUCCUUGAGAGUCCUGAAGGAACGUUGAAGACGACGACGUUGAUAGGCCGGGUGUGUAAGCGCAGCGAUGCGUUGAGCUAACCGGUACUAAUGAACCGUGAGGCUUAACC